UGUGUGUUGUUGUUGCAGAGACCUGGAUUUCUCAGGGUGCCUCCUGAGGAAAAGUCUGUCCAAUGGGGAGCCUCCGAGCCGUUACGACCUCAUCGCUGUGUCCAAUCACUACGGAGGACUGAGAGACGGACAUUACACCAGUUACGCGUGCAACAAGGACAACGGUCAGUGGUAUUACUUUGACGACAGUAAGGUGACGUACGCCAGAGAGGACCAGAUCGUGACCAACGCUGCCUACGUCUUGUUCUACCACCGACAAGACAAGAUCAGAAAACCCACUCUGCCCGCCCCCAACGCAAGCCCCGCCUCCUCCACCCAGCCCGCCAACGACAUCACUUCCUGCAAAGACGAUGACGCAGAGCUGGGCGGUGCCGCCGCGGCCGCCGCCUCCUCCUACGUCUCCAUGGAAACGGAAUAAAUGAACUCUCAAGAUUUAGUUAAAUUCCACUUUACGGUAAUUUUUGUUUUUCAUCAGAACAUCGGGCCUUUUUUUUCCGUUUAGUUUUUAUCUUAUUUUUAACGACACUUGAACUUUCUCUGAUUAUUUCUUUCCCCCAAAUCCUAAAAACAGCUCGGCUGCUUCUCUUCUCUCGAAAAGUCGCCGCGUGCUCGGAGGAUAACGUGGCCGCGUGUUUCUCAGGUAGUUUGAAGGUGAUCUCACUUUUAGACCGUUAAUUUGAGCCGAAACUCGACGUUAAAUAUUCCCGUUUGAAGUGACGUCUGUUUCCUGAAGUCUGGAGCGAGCGUGCAGAAUAAUUAUUGAUUUUUACUAUAACCUGAUUUAUUAUCCUGCAUAUUAAUGACGCAUUACACGACUCAAACUAGAGAAAUAAAGAGAUCUUUCACUUUUAA